GAGCAUCUCCCGCCACGCCCGGCCAGCAGGUGGCGCUCGCGAGGUCCCUGACCCCGGCGUCACGUCCCCGCACGCGUCCCCACCGCGCCUCACGCCCCGCACGCUGCCCUGGGUUGGCGUAGCCGCCUCCGCGCCUCGCCGGAAGCGCUCGGAGCCCGUCCCCGCCGCGCUGCUCGCCUCACAGGCGCCCUCACCCUCGUCAGUCAGCGGGGGCCUUGCCGGGCCAGGCCGUCAGACCGCGGCGCGGAGCGUCAGUGUGCGCUGAAUCGGCAAACGCGUACGAUUAUGCUGCCGAUUUCUGAGCUGUAAAUAGGCAAAAUCCCUAACUGAGAAAACUGAAGCUCUGAAAAUGAACAGUUAAGGACACGGAGAUAUAUCGCCCUCCCUGCCAGGGAACAGCAUGUGGGGACUCAACGAACCAGUCUGCAAUUGGGCGUCCUUCUCGGCUAUACUCACAGAAACCAAAUAUCACCACUUAAAUACGCGUCCUAAUCUGGGAUCAGGAACACACAGCCCUACCUGCAGCACAGCAAAGAGGAAACAGUAUCCGGGCCUCUGUGACAGGGAGAGAGUCAGGGGCGUGCAGGGAGUAAGAUCCCAAGGGCAGGAAGUGAAGGAAAAGGGGACUCAAGGAGGAGGAUGAAGGGAAAACAGAAAGGGGAAGAGAACAGAAGAAAUGGGGAAAAGGAACCGCGACUGCUGAAUGACAUACAAAAAGCUGAUUAAUAUCCAUUAUUGAAAAUCCUGCUCCUACAAUCAAACCGAAGUCCCGGAAGUCCCUGAAGCCGGGAGACCUCCCAGACGAGGGGGCAGGCGGGAAAAGCAAGUAAGUGUACGCUCACCAGGUCCGUCCCGCAGCGGGGGAGCAGCAGAGACCUUCCCUUUCUGCCGCCUCCCUUGCGCCACCGCCCUCCCCAGCAGGACGGCUGUUGACAAAGCUGGGGUCCCCCCAAGCCAGCCACUCUCUGAAAAGACACACUCCAGCCAAUAGCAACCCCGGCAUGCCACCGGCCCUCUCUCUGAAACUGCUGGAACCACGUGGGAAAGAAGCAUCCUGGGGUCCACCUGCUCAUAACACAGAUUAGGGACGAGGCCCAGACGGAGAAGUGAUUUGCCUGAGGUCCCCUGGCUUUUACUGAAAAGAUCUGUGCUCUGGGUCAGGGCACUUUCCACAUUUUUAUGAGUGUAGACGAGUCCCUUGCCCUUGGCGUAACCCUGGCUUCUGCUGUCUGGAUUAAUGUCACAGCUCUGCUAGACACUCCAGACACACCAUGGGGUGGCACCAUCGAAAUGGAUCGCUGUGGCUGUCCUGCAGGAACAGUCCCAUCAGGGUGGCCCCUUCGCUUGGCCUUGCAAUGUGAGUGGCCUCAGCCACCCCACACACGGCACCCGCAAACCCCCGCCUUCUUCAACGUCACAGAGAGUUUAUUCUUCUAUCCUGCUGUCUCUUCCUCUCUUCUUCCUCUUCCAUGUUCCAUGCUGGUUCUUUCUCCUCCUUUGUUUCUCUCUGUUAAAUAGUCACACCACAGAUAUGAAAGCUAGUUUUCAUUAUUUUUAUGCUAAAUUUUAUCUUUAGAUUUUUACUGUUGAAAACACAGUAGGAAAAAGUUUUAGAUUUAUCCUUUUAAAACACUUCCAUUCUUACAUAUAAAAUAACUUCCUUGAUAUUACAAAUAAUGUUCUUUAUUACUUAUUCCCUGAGGUUUAAUCAUCCUCAACCAAAAGAAGAAGGCUCCAAUCCGGCUCCUGAAAGCCGGUGCAAAGUUGCUUGGCACUAGCUAUGAUGCAGUGAUCAGACACCAUCCCUGAAAUCACUCAGUCCACAGCUCUGUGUCACCUGCCUACUCCUGAUGUCGGAGCUUAGCAGGUAGGUGAGUCUCAUGUUCAGGAAGCAGCAGCAGGAGAAAAGCAUCUAGAAGACCCCUCAUGUUCCUAGGAAAGUCUAAGUCAUUAAAUAAGAAGUAAUGCAAAAUAACUCAAAGAAAAAGAUAGGAAAUGAGCAGCCAAAUGUAUUAACAGAAAAAAACACUAACCAGAAAAAUGUUGCCAUGAAACAAUUUUUUUAAAACUGAUCUGAUAUUUCACAUGCAUUUUUUUUUACAUCUUUAAAAAUUGCCUCUGUUAAGGAAGAGCAUCAAGCAGACACGCAGAAACUCCGGAAAAAUCACAUAAUAUGGUAGGAAAAAGAUGGAGCACCAGCCAGUAAACUCAGGAGCUAAGCUGGAGAAAAGGAUAAAACCAUCCCAGAAAUUAAGAUGAAAUUGGAAGGACAACCAGGGCAAAGCAUGGGCUAGAGAUGGUCUGGCCAGAGCAAUACAGACAACAAAAAUUAUAUAAGUGAACAGAAUGAAAACAGAGACCAGAUUUUAAAAGGCUGGAGAGACUAUGAUAAAUGUAGAUAACAGGCAAAAGCAUGCAUAAUUGAAUUUCUUAAAAAGAAAAAU